rnacentral:rRNA from 1 species
UACGUAGGUGGCAAGCGUUGUCCGGAUUUACUGGGCGUAAAGAGCGCGCAGGCGGUCGUUCAAGUCGCGUGUGAAAGCCCCCGGCUCAACUGGGGAGGGUCUCGCGAUACUGAUCGACUCGAAGGCAGGAGAGGGAAGUGGAAUUCCCGGUGUAGUGGUGAAAUGCGUAGAUAUCGGGAGGAACACCAGUGGCGAAGGCGACUUCCUGGCCUGUUCUUGACGCUGAGGCGCGAAAGCUAGGGGAGCAAACGGG